rnacentral:misc_RNA from 1 species
AUGCGUCCAGGGCCCAAAGCGACGCAAGCGCGCCCGCGCCAGGAUGCGUCCAUUUGGGGCACUAGCGUAGCGGUCUGCUGUUGCAGCAGCAGCAUUGUUUUUGUUUUCUGGCUGGACCUGGACGGGAUCUUCUCGAUCCCCCUUUGCAAACACCUGUUGCGUCCAAUUCCCGAGUGCACCUGCCGCCUGUCCUGCGGCUGCGGCAUUCUGCGGUGCACCCCUUGCACGCUUUCUUAAGCUCUGAGAGACGUUUUUAUAGUGCGGCUGCCGUCUUUCGAUCGUAAGAAAGUGUACACUAUUUUCGGACUGAAUCCUUGUUCCUUUUCCAUGUUGGUUAGACAUGAGUCUUGUAAGGUGUAUUGAGUUAUCUCCUCCAUCUAAGCAGAUGAAGAAGAUGAAAAUGAAGUUGACUUCAAUUCCAAAAGAAAUUUUGGUUGACUUGCAGUACAACCUGAUUGAUGUGAAACUUCUUCAGCGGAAUGUUUUGGACAAAUCCGAUUUCAUUCUGCUCAAUAGUUACUCUACCAAUCAGGAGAAGGUAGAAAUACUGAUGGAACUAAUGCGCAACAAGACUGAAGAAGACCAUGACAAUUUCCUUGAAAUCAUGGAGGAAGAUUACAAGUGGCUCAGAGAUAAAUGUGAUCUUUUCUUCACUAAAUUAAGAAUGGACAAUCUUUCUAAAAAGCCGCAAGAAAUUCUACCAUCUUCUGAUCCAGUAGUUGAAUCAGAGGAUACUACAACUGAAGAAAAUGAUCGAUCAUCAUCACCCCCUGCAAUGAAAAACCCAAGCAGUCCUGACAGUACUGCUGUACUGACAAGAUGUAUUAAAAAAGAAACAGAUUUUGAAAAAAAAAUCAAUGAUGCUUCCUCCAAAAACCUUCAUACUGGCUCUGUAUCUAAGAAGAAUGAUAAAGCAUCAAAGAUAAAUGAGCAAACUUUUAACCAAACAAUUACUCCAGAGAUGAUGACGAUUGUUCGUCGCAACCACCGUGUUGUUCGGAAAUGGUCCACACUUGCUCAUAUUCUGGGUAUGACAAAAAUUGUACAUACAUUACGCAUGCGCAUGGUAAUGAGUGGAGAAGAUGCAGAUGCCUGUGUUUUGUAUCUGUUGGAGGAAUGGAAAGGUGGGCAACCCAAAGAGGCCACUCUGGGCAGACUUAUUUCUGCACUCCGAGAAGAGGAGUUCAAUGAUGUUGCAGACGAGCUGGAAGAAAAAUUUGCCUUAAUUGAUGAUUCUGAGCAGUAAUUUUUUUCUUUGUACAAGACUCAUUGUGAUUUUUACUCAUAUUUUUAUGUAAUUGUAAAAGACAUGUUUUUUAGUCUUCUAACUUUAUAUCUACAUUUUAAAAGACUUCUUACCACUUAAGUUUAUUGUGCACAUAUCUGGUACACAGAGUAACAGCAAAGUAUCUUGUCUUUAGGAUGUGUGCCACAGUUCUUGCCUAUGGUUAGAUAAUUUCUCCAUCCAGUUUUAAGCCGGUGUUUUGCACACAGUGCGCCUGUGUCUACUGUAAUCAUUGAGGCCUGCUCAAACUACAUUAUUGUAAGAUAGUAUUUAUAAAAGUUUAUUUUAAAUCAAUGUGCAUUUUAAUGAACAACUUAGUACAAAAUUUGGUUGUACUAAAUAAUCUUGAAUGAGAUUGUUGUAAUAGCAGAAUAAACACAAGAAGGGCUUUUAUGAGACAAGAGAGUAGAUUUUGUGUGAAAAUUGUUGUAGAUUUGCUGUGAUAAAUUGCUGACCCUGAAACUACUUAUGGCAGACACCCUAGUCAUCUCUGUAUCUUUUUUUCUUCAAAAUUUACAAGGAUGAGUUUGGUAUCUGUCUCUGUCAUGUUGAACAUUACGUAUUACCACUUUUAUACUCAGGAUUUCUUUUCAGUAUUAUUGGAGUUGUUAAAAUUGUAUUUUGAAUCCAUGUUUGAUGAGGGAAAGGAAACAUUUUUUAAAUAUUUUAGAAUGUCAACAAUGUUUUCACUUAUGCAACAAUUCCACAUUAUUAAUUAAGAGAUUUUAUUCAGUACUCUGCUGUUGUCGAUAAUCUGUUCUUUUCUCAGCUUGUUCACGUUAAGUACUGAGAUCUGGUUAUUGCUGAUCUGUUUGAACGAAAUGAGCUCUUAUCAAAACUUGACUUUUUGCUUUGUGUCCUCAUUUAAUAGUAUUAAAGCUCUCUGAUUAUUAUCUGAUUUGUUUUUAAAUCAAUAAAUCACUUUUUGUUUCAAGUUAAAA